GGUAAAAUGACUGAAUAUAUAAGUGAUAAAUUGUAAAUUUAUUUAUAAAGAGUUAUCUUUUUUUACCA
rnacentral:tRNA from 1 species